rnacentral:rRNA from 1 species
CCUACGGGUGGCAGCAGUGAGGAAUAUUGGUCAAUGGCCGGAAGGCUGAACCAGCCAAGCCGCGUGAAGGACGAAGGUGCCAAGCAUUGUAAACUUCUUUUGUCAAGGGACACAAUCAGGCUCGCGAGCCUGACCGAGGGUACUUGAAGACAAAGCAUCGGCUACCUCCGUGCCAGCAGCCGCGGUAAUACGGGGGAUGCGAGCGUUAUCCGGAUUUAUUGGGUUUAAAGGGUGCGGAGGCGGACUGUUAGGUCAGCGGUAAACGCCCGGGGCUCAACCCCGGCGAGCCGUUGAAACUGGCUGUCUGGAGAUGUCGAGAGGUAUGGGGAAUGCGCAGUGUAGCGGUGAAAUGCUG